CGCACGAGCGGGCGUUCGUACGGAUGCGAUUGAAAACGCAGCUGACAGACGUACCAUCUUCAACGUGCUAGUCUUCUCGGUGACCGUGGCGCCCCCUGCUGACCGCCGACAACAGCAACGAUAUUUUCGGUUAUGUUAUGUGCGGUGUAGGAAACGUACUGCACGCACAGUCUUAUCUCUUAGCCAUCGGUCUCAUCUCCUAUGCCUCACUUUCAUCUAGUCAACAUCAUUCAUUGUCUAUUGUCUAUUAGUAUUACUCAUUUACUGACUCUGUAGUCGAGCAUAUAGCAGUUCAUAUCACUGGUCAGUUAAGCACAAAUCAGUUAAUGUCAAUGGUCAGUCGAACAUAUAGCAUUUCAUAUCACUGGUCAAUCGAGCUUAUAUCAGUUCAAAUCACAGGUCACUCGAUCAUAUUAUUUAUAUCACUGGUCAGUCGAGCAUAUAUCAGUUCGUAUCACUGGUAAAUUGAACAUAUAUCGGUUCAAAUCACAGGUCCGUCAAUCAUAUUAUUUCAUAUCACUAGUCAGUCGAUCACAAAUCAGGUAAUGACAGCAGUCAGUCUAUCAUAUAGCAGUUCAAAUCACUGGUCAAUCGAUCACGUAUCAGUUCAAAUCUCAGGUCAGUCGAUUAUAUUAUUUCUUAUCACUGGUCAGUCGAGCAUAAAUCAGUUAAUGGCAGUAGUCAAUCGAUCACAUAUCAGUUCAUAUCACUGGUCAAUAGAACAUAUAUCAGUUCAAAUCACUGGUCACUCGAUCAUAUACAAGUUCAUAUCAAUGGUCAAUCGAUCACAUAUCAGUUCAAAUCACUGGUCAUUCGAUCAUAUUAUUUUAUAUCACUGGUCAGUCGAUCAUAUAUCAGUUAAUGUCAAUGGUCAGUCGAGCAUAUCAGUUCAUAUCACUGGUUAAUCGAUCACAUAUCAGUUCAAAUCACAGAUCAGUCGAUCAUAUUAUUUCAUAUCACUGGUCAAUCAAUCACAUAUCAGUUCAAAUCACUGGUCAUUCGAUCAUAUUAUUUCAUAUCACUGGUGUGUCGAGCAUAUAUCAGUUAAUGUCAAUGGUCAGUCGAGCAUAUCAGUUCAUAUUACUGGUCAGUCGAUCAUAUAUCAGUAAUGUCAAUGGUGAGUUGAUCCUAGCAGUUUCUUAUUCUUGCCAUUAUCAGCUUUCUUUUACAUGCCUUUCACGCCAGCAUAGUUCUGCAGGAACAUGUGUAGUCAGUCAAUUGUAGGCCUGUGUUGUAAUAUCAGCGUGUUCGAGUUUCUUGU
rnacentral:lncRNA from 1 species